GAACUGUUUGCACUAUUUGAUUCCCAUUUGGUGCAUUUCAUCCGCCAACAUGGAAGGAGAGACUCUAAUGUGCUGCAAUGUGAUAUUAUGCACUCUUAAAGGGACUCUUCACGUAAUACCGUUAGCCAGAUAGUCAGCACCUUACUUAUCUAGCUUUUGUGGACUGCCUCUGAGGACGUCUGGUACGUCACAAGCAAGUUUUACAUCACUAUUGCUCAUUAUGGACUGCCUCUGAGGACGUCUGGUACGUCACAAAUCCUGACUCCCUAGAAGGCAGCCACACUCUGAAACCAGGAGAGUGGGUAGUGGUCAAGA